rnacentral:rRNA from 1 species
GUAAUUGGAAUGAUGGGAAUUUAAACCUCUUCCAGAGUAUCAAUUGGAGGGCAAGUCUGGUGCCAGCAGCCGCGGUAAUUCCAGCUCCAAUAGCGUAUAUUAAAAUUGUUGCAGUUAAAAAGCUCGUAGUUGAAUUUCUGCUGCAUUGUUUCUUCUCAUGUCGAGUGAUUCAUUGUGGCUUAUUUCGGAUUGUUUUUUACUUUCCGGAUGAUUACUUUGAGAAAAUUAGAGUGCUCAAAGCAGGCUUUUGCCUUGAAUAGUUUAGCAUGGAAUAAUAAAGUAGGACUUUGGUUCUAUUUUGUUGGUUUUAGGUACCAAAGUAAUGGUUAAUAGGAACAGUUGGGGGCAUUCGUAUUUAACUGUCAGAGGUGAAAUUCUUAGAUUUGUUAAAGACGAACUACUGCGAAAGCAUUUGCCAAGGAUGUUUUCAUUAAUCAAGAACGAAAGUUAGGGGAUCGAAGACGAUCAGAUACCGUCGUAGUCCUAACCAUAAACUA